rnacentral:lncRNA from 1 species
GGCCCGAGCUGCACAGGCCAAGGAAUUCCACAGAGGGUGUGACCCAAAGCCCCUAACAACAGACUCGCUGGGACCCCCUAGACUUGGCAUGGAGGCUGGCGUCGAUUUUCCCAUCAUCCGCCUCUAAGAGCUCAGAGGUAGGGAGAUCCUGCUCCGCCCUCUCGUCCUCUUCCUCCAAGCCUGGGGAAGGGACGUCCUGGCAGGUGGUCAGGGCGUUGCAGUUCGAGUCCAGGCCAGGAUCGGGUGAAGAAGAAGCUCCGGAGCAGGAAUCAGGAGAGCAGCAGAAGCUGUCCGGUGCAGACCUAGAAGACAGAGGUGGUGAAGCCCGGCCAGUGAGGACAAGAGCUGCGGGGAAGGACACCGAGGCACCUUCAGGAUCUGGUACUGUUCUGGAGUGGCCCGUUGCAGACACUGAACCACCAGCCAGCUGCAUUUGUUGUCCUGGAUGUCAGUGCCAAUUUUGCCGGUCACACUGGGGUCCCCAAAGAGGUCAAGGCACGCUGCAAUCCUGUACCCUGAAACCAGCUAGAUGAGCAUGUCCUAUAGAGGCCAAGGCUACCAUGGGCACCCUCUGGGCAUCGGGCCCUGUCUGCAAUACACCUGCAGGAAGAGCUCGAUCAGGUUCAGAUCUGUCCCCGGCGGGUAAGGGAUGAAUCCAUGAUGUCAUCUGCCACCAGGAAGAAAGCUUGCAGCUAGAAAGAGUGGAAUAAGACCUGCAGGGCUCCUCAUUACUGUUCCUUCUAUCAGCAACAGAGCUGCUACUUUAUAUCUGUAUAUAGUUUUGCUUUUUUUUGGUAGGGGACAGAGUCUCACUAUUAUCCAGUGCAGUGGUGCAGUCACAGCUCACUGUAGCCUCUAACUCCCAGGCUCAAGUGAUCCUCCCACUUCAGCUUCCUGAGUUCCUGAGACCAUAGGCACAUACCCCAUGCCUGGCUAUUUUUUUUUUUUAAUUUAUUUUUUGUAGAGACAGGGUCCCACUAUGUUGCUCAGGCUGGUUUUGAACCCCUGGGUUCAAAUGAUCCUCCUGCCUCAGCCUCCCAAAUUACUGGGAUUACAGGCAUGAGGCAUCACAGCCGGCCAGAGCUGCUGCCUUUGACAGUCCCUAUGAGCUGGGAAAGUCAGGAUGGGGAGACAGAAGACUUCUGUGCUAUGGAGACUUGGAAAGUGACAUAACAUGUUUGGCUCAGACUCCCCGCCUAUAAAAUGGAACUAAAACACUCUUGUUUUAGGUUAAGAAACUAGAACAGAUCUUUGACAUCUCUAAUGAGCCCUAGAUUAUUCCUGGUGUCAGGGAGAUUAGGAAACACCUUCAUAUACCGUACUCUAUUCUUGCCAAAAACCUCAAUGAAUGCUUAAAGUAAGAUCUAUUCAUGAAACUGACUUCACAUUACUUCCUAAAUAAAAGAAGGCUAUUCCCACAUUGCCCCCAGCACUGUGUUUGAACACCCUGGUGACUAGGAACACAGCCUUACCUAAAGCAGCUCCUUAGCAGUGCAGGUCUAAUAAGGUGGAACUGAAAUCUGACUUUGACCUAUGAGUCUCAGACAUCUUUAAACAUCUUUAAACAUUAACUAAGGGCUUACUCUUCUGAGUGCCCAUCUGAAGGUACCUGAACGUGUCGGGUUUCCCACUAGACCAUGAUCUCCUUGGAAGCAGGGACAGUAACUUCCCCCUCUUAGCAUUUGCAGAGCCUAGCACAGCAUUAGGCCUGGAGUGAGAGUUUCCUAAACACUUGUCUGACAAAGAAAUUAAUAAAACACUCUAACAUUCCCUGUGAUAAAAAAAAAAAAAAAAAA